GUAUAGAACCUACCUUAUAUUGGGGGAUAGCCCAGAGAAAUUUGGAUUAAUACCCCAUAGUAUGCUGAAGUGGCAUCCUUUAGUAUUAAAGAUUUAUCGAUAUAAGAUGGCUAUGCGUUCUAUUAGCUAGUUGGUAUGGUAACGGCAUACCAAGGCUACGAUAGAUAGGGGUCCUGAGAGGGAGAUCCCCCACACUGGUACUGAGACACGGACCAGACUCCUACGGGAGGCAGCAGUGAGGAAUAUUGGACAAUGGAGGCAACUCUGAUCCAGCCAUGCCGCGUGCAGGAAGACUGCCCUAUGGGUUGUAAACUGCUUUUAUAGAGGAAGAAACCGCUCUACGUGUAGAGCUCUGACGGUACUCUACGAAUAAGGAUCGGCUAACUCCGUGCCAGCAGCCGCGGUAAUACGGAGGAUCCAAGCGUUAUCCGGAAUCAUUGGGUUUAAAGGGUCCGUAGCGGGCUUAUAAGUCAGUGGUGAAAGUUUG
rnacentral:rRNA from 1 species